AUUGAACGCUGGCGGCAGGCUUAACACAUGCAAGUCGAGCGGUAACAGGAGAAGCUUGCUUCUCGCUGACGAGCGGCGGACGGGUGGGUAAUACUUAGGAAUCUACCUAGUAGUGGGGGAUAGCUCGGGGAAACUCGAAUUAAUACCGCAUACGACCUACGGGAGAAAGGGGGCAACUUGUUGCUCUCGCUAUUAGAUGAGCCUAAGUCGGAUUAGCUAGAUGGUGGGGUAAAGGCCUAUCAUGGCGACGAUCUGUAGCUGGUCUGAGAGGAUGAUCAGCCACACCGGGACUGAGACACGGCCCGGACUCCUACGGGAGGCAGCAGUGGGGAAUAUUGGACAAUGGGGGCAACCCUGAUCCAGCCAUGCCGCGUGUGUGAAGAAGGCCUUUUGGUUGCAAAGCACUUUAAGCAGUGAAGAAGACUCCAUGGUUAAUACCCAUGGACGAUGACAUUAGCUGCAGAAUAAGCACCGGCUAACUCUGUG
rnacentral:rRNA from 1 species